CGACUCCCAAAUACAGCCCCCACCCCCACCCACCCACUGCAAGCCUCGACUGCUGAAAAGAUGCUCGAGAAGAGCAGCCCGCAAGCACCCACCACAUCCAUUAACAAAGACUCUCAGGGUGCGGGGUCCGAGUCCCCGGCAUCCGCUGGGGGAGGCUGCGGGCUCCGGAGCGGGAGCGCAGAGACCCGAAGGAGGGUGAGGAGGAGGAGGAAGAGAAGGAGGAGAAAGAGGAGGAGCGGGAGGAGAAAGGGACGUGGAAGAGGGGUGGGGGGAGCGGGGCCGCCGACUCCCGGGACUGGGGCCCCGCACGCCCGGCACGAAGGCGGGGCGCGCUAGGGCGGCGGAGGAGGUGUGAGGAAGGAAGAGGAGGAAGAGGAGGAAGAGGGGGGGGAGGAGGGGGCGGUACCUGCGAGGUGGGGGAGUGCGGCCCGUCCGCAGUCCCGUUCUUGGCGUAGGAGGAGGAGGACAUCGUUCAGAGCCGCCGCAUGGCCAGCCCGUGUGCGGUGGGCGGAGGGGGCUGGCCCCCGAGGCGGAGAAGGUGUUAAUAAUCAAGGAAACUAGGUGUAGAAUUCUCUGUACCAACUUAGCGAUUGUUUGUGAAUAAAUCUAAAACUAUUCCAAAAUAAAAAUUUAUUUUUAAAAAUUCU
rnacentral:lncRNA from 1 species